UACGUAGGGGGCAAGCGUUGUCCGGAUUUAUUGGGCGUAAAGCGCUCGUAGGCGGCUUAGUAAGUCGGGUGUGAAACCUCCAGGCUCAACCUGGAGACGCCACCCGAUACUGCUGUGGCUAGAGUCCGGUAGGGGAGCGUGGAAUUCCUGGUGUAGCGGUGAAAUGCGCAGAUAUCAGGAGGAACACCAGCGGCGAAGGCGGCGCUCUGGGCCGGUACUGACGCUGAGGAGCGAAAGCGUGGGGAGCAAACAGG
rnacentral:rRNA from 1 species